UUUUUGUUAGCUAACUUUUGUCUAUUAAAUGGUAUAUUUACUGCACUUUGUGAUAAAACCGUAAGCUGAAAAAGUGUUGAAAACUAUACUGACGAACUUUGGGAAGCAAUUUUGCAAUAAAAUUCGAAUUCACACAAGCUUCAACUAUUCUUUCAGCACCUCGGCGUAAGUCGAAUAAUAAUUGAAAAUUUUUCCACCUAACUGAAAAUACAUUUUUGUUGGCUGUAUAAAACAAUAGCGCAUCGUUUCAGGUAGUGUUACAAAAUGUAAAUAUAUUAAACUAGAGACUAUAUACAUCAAAUGGAGCGAUGGCUGGCUGGCUACUGAGAUGGCUGGAAGCCACGCGCAGCUCAGAUAUGGGAGAGAGAGGCUGAGUCCUUCGAAUGCCUCAACUGGCAAUCCGAAUUCAGAAGCCAAACUCAAAUCAAAUGUCUGAAAUGCCAAUUAACCAAUAAAUGUGUCUGACCAAAGGCCCAUAAAGGUUUAAGGCAGCCUGUUGGCCUGUAAAUUCAUUGGCAGCCUGGAAUUCAGGCUGCUCCAAGCUCCAGCUCCUCCGCUCCAGCUUUUGCUUCUGCUGCUGCUCGUGUUCGUGCUCCGCUAAGACCCGCAACUCGCAAUCAAAUCGCAAUGCUAAGAAUUUUCUAGAAAAUCAACACACAGGCUGUGUGUUAGCUUGCGGUUGUCCAAAUCAAAAUUGAAGUCAGCAUUGAAAUCAAAGCGUGUUAAACAACAAACGAAUAUUUUGCAAGAAAUGGUUCAACCAAACAAAACAAAAAUACGAGAAAAAAAAGAUCGUAGCAUGCUUUGGCGGGCACUGGCCGCAGAAAAUGUAAAAUAUUUUCAAUUAAUUUGACGCCGACCUUCAUUUCAAUUUCUAAUAUUAGAAAAUUUGACAGUGCUGCUGCUUCGUCUGUCUUUCAGACGGAGACAGAGACGGAGACGGAGACGGACACCGAGACGGAGUGGAAGAGGAAGGCGGAGACGAAGGGCAGACGGACGUGCAGCAAGCACACUUUCAUUUUGAUUGCCCGUCUAAGUCCCCAACAUCUUCCACUUCAACGGGCUUCCACGCGACCCACCAAUAUUUUCAACCUGUGCCCAGCCCUUUUUCUGGCCUUCAUUUAAUUUGUCUGCGUUGUUUGUGCAACACUUCAGUGCGACGAACUGAAGCUGAUGCUGAUGCUGAAUCUGAAGCUGGAAAUGGAGCUGGAGCUGGAGCGUCGACCAAAGCAGGAGACGUCGACGUCGCCGACUCUUUAUAGCUCCUUUUCGAUUGCCUUGCCUGUCAACACUGGUCAUCGAUGAAAACAACGCUUUGAAAAUGUGCGAGAGUGAACGACCUACAUAAAUAUACAUACGUUCACAUGUACAUGUAUGUAGUUGAAAGUGAAAUUUUUCCACAGUACCAGACAGCACACCAAUACAUACAUACAUGUACAUGCGCCGAAGUUGGAGGAAUUCGUUGACAAGGGACUAUGAUAUCAUUGACAUUCAUUGGAUUUGACGGCCGUUUGCACCUGAUGCCAACACAAACACACAACGAGAGAUACCCGAGAAGUGUUUUUUUGUUGGGGGUCAUAUUCAAAUGCAGUAAGUCUAGCGAACUCGAAAGCCAUUUAACGAAUUGCGAAGCCAAGAAAACAUAUUUUACCCGAACCGCCCCAUUCAAUUCAAAAAUAUAAAUGAUAAUAGGAUUGGCGGUGGUUCACCCUAAAAUUUGAUAUGCAAACAAAAAUUCGAUACGCUGAGAUUGUUAAUAAGCUGAAUAUGAAUUUCAAUUAAAUUUGGGCUAAGUUGUCUCGGAACUUAAAAACCUGCAAUGGAAGAGUUUUUCUUAAGCAUAUCUGAUUCAAAUGUAUACUAUAUUUUAUAGUUAUUUAACAGUAUUCAUCAUCCUUGAAUAAAAUCUUUACUAUCUC